rnacentral:lncRNA from 1 species
UAGCUCAGUAUACGGGGUUGCUCUUCACCAAGCUGGAUGUUGACGUAGUCUGCUAAGGUUGAUGACGAGUAGUAAAGGCGUACUGAUCCUCCAAGAGUGUCAUGGGUACUUGCUAUUAGAAAGAACACUUGACUGAUGCAGACAACACUCCGACAGGGGACAUGAUGUCCUUCUGCCUAUUAGCUCCUCAUGAUCCUUUAAAGCCUAUGAACCUCAAAUAGACAACAAUGCUUGCAGAACUGAUUACGCGUUAGUGAUAAACCUCUAAGCUUUGGGAGUCUAGAACUUUCUUAUACCCAUUUAUCUUUUAGGGGAUCAAUAUAUUUUUAUACUUUUUAAAUUUAUGGUAUGC